rnacentral:lncRNA from 1 species
AGUAACAUCUUGGCCCAACCGCGCAUAUCAGACACUUCUUCUUCUAGUUCCCUUAUUUUCUUUUUCAGGCUUGAAGCCAACUCGUCUGAAGGAUGCUUCUUUUCAAUAGUCUUACUCAUAACCUUCUCAUUAGUCGCUUUCCUCUUACCUUUGUGGUUCUCAUUUGGAAGAGAAGGGAGAGAGUCCUUUGAUCGCGUAUGGUAAACCAUGGUCUACAGAUCAAC